AUCAUCUAGAGCAGUCUCCUGUUGGUACCAAGUGACUAGCAACAAUGAAGAAGAGAUGAAGAGCUGCCAGUGUCCUGAGAGGACAGAAAAAGGAGAAUCCAGGAGCCCAACACCUUGGACGGGGCUCAGGCAGAGAAUCUGUGUCACACGAAAGGAGAGGAAUGGAAACAGCGGGAAACCAUCGGCAACAAAGGAAGGCGAACAAAAA